GAUGAACGCUGGCGGCGUGCCUAAUACAUGCAAGUCGAGCGAACGGACGAGAAGCUUGCUUCUCUGAUGUUAGCGGCGGACGGGUGAGUAACACGUAGAUAACCUACCUAUAAGACUGGGAUAACUUCGGGAAACCGGAGCUAAUACCGGAUAAUAUUUUGAACCGCAUGGUUCAAAAGUGAAAGACGGUCUUGCUGUCACUUAUAGAUGGAUCCGCGCUGCAUUAGCUAGUUGGUAAGGUAACGGCUUACCAAGGCAACGAUGCAUAGCCGACCUGAGAGGGUGAUCGGCCACAUUGGAACGUAGACACGGUCCAGGCUCCUACGGGAGGCAGCAGUAGGGAAUCUUCCGCAAUGGGCGAAAGCCUGACGGAGCAACGCCGCGUGAGUGAUGAAGGUCUUCGGAUCGUAAAACUCUGUUAUUAGGGAAGAACAUAUGUGUAAGUAACUGUGCACAUCUUGACGGUACCUAAUCAGAAAGCCACGGCUAACUACGUG
rnacentral:rRNA from 1 species